UAAUACGUAGGGUCCAAGCGUUAUCCGGAAUCACUGGGCGUAAAGCGUUUGUAGGCGGAAGUUUAAGUGAGAUGCGAAAUCUUGUGGCUCAACCACAUAGACGGUAUCUCAUACUGGGCUUCUAGAAUAUAGCAGAGGUAAGUGGAAUUAGUAGUGUAGCGGUAAAAUGCGUAGAUAUUACUAGGAACACCAAUGGCGAAGGCAGCUUACUGGGCUAUUAUUGACGCUGAGAAACGAAAGCGUGGGGAGCGAACAGGAUUAGAUACCCUGGUAGUCCACGCCGUAAACGAUGUGUGCUAUUAGUUCGAGGUAUCGACCCCUUGGGCUGAACAGCUAACGCGUUAAGCACACCGCCUGGGGAGUACGAGCGCAAGCUUA
rnacentral:rRNA from 1 species